UGACGCAGCAACGCCGCGUGAAGGAUGAAGGUUUUCGGAUUGUAAACUUCUUUUCUUAAGGACGAAAUUUGACGGUACUUAAGGAAUAAGCUCCGGCUAACUACGUGCC
rnacentral:rRNA from 1 species